rnacentral:rRNA from 1 species
ACAGCAGUCGCCACGGUAAUACCAGCAGCCCAAGUGGUGGUCGCGAUUAUUGGGCCUAAAGCGCUCGUGGCCGGGCCGGUAAGUCCCUUGUGAAAUCGGACGGCCUAACCGUUCGGCGUGCAAGGGAUACUGUCGGUCUUGAGGCCGGGAGACGUCCGAGGUACUCCGGGGGUAGCGGUGAAAUGCGUAGAGAUCGGGAGGAACAUCAGUGGCGAAGGCGGCCAUCUGGGACAACACUGACGCUGAGGCACGAAAGCGUGGGGAGCAAACAGGAUUAGAUACCCCUGUAGUCCCUGUCUCUUAUU